rnacentral:rRNA from 1 species
UACAGAGGGGGCAAGCGUUGUUCGGAAUUACUGGGCGUAAAGGGCUCGUAGGCGGCCUUCUAAGUCGAACGUGAAAUCCCCGGGCUCAACCCGGGAACUGCGUCCGAGACUGGAAGGCUUGAAUCCGGGAGAGGGAUGUGGAAUUCCAGGUGUAGCGGUGAAAUGCGUAGAUAUCAGGAGGAACACCGGUGGUGUAGACGGCUUUCUGGACCGUAACUGACGCUGAGACACGAAAGCGUGGGUAGCAAACAGG